rnacentral:piRNA from 1 species
UGAUAUGACAACUGCGCGGCUACAAUG